AGGGCGGGACUUGUGGCGUCUUCGCAGCGGUCAUUUUGGCUGCCCUCCCGGAGGUCCGUUCUGUCUGUCAGCCGCUUUGGUACGCUGCAUCGGGAUCGAAGUGACGGACCGUGAAGGCGCGAGAGUCAGGUCUGAGGGUCGGGGGCAGAGCCGCCCGCGAGGCCGGCCUGGGGAUAGCGAUGCUCGGGUUCCCCCCGGGUCGCCCGCAGCUCCCGGUCCAGCUCCGCCCACAGACUCGGAUGGCGACCGCACUGAGGGACCCGGCUUCGGCUGUUCAGUGGAAGAAAAGACUUUAGAGAUGGAUGAGGACGUUGAGGCAGAGGGAGGUUGAAUAUUUUUCCAAGGCCACACAACUGGUGAGAGGCAGCACUAAGGACCGAGGCGCACAGGUUCCCAUAGCUACAGAGGUGCUUUUCAAACUUACACAGGGAAGUGUGACCUUUGAAGAUGUGGCCGUGUACUUCUCCUGGGAGGAAUGGGAUCUCCUUGAUGAGGCUCAGAAACACCUGUACUUCGAUGUGAUGCUGGAGAACUUUGCACUUACGUCCUCCCUGGGACUUAUAUCAUCCUGGUCUCAUGUAGUUGCUCAACUAGGGCUAGGGGAAGUGCCCUCUGUUCUUCACAGGAUGUUCAUGACUCCAGCCUCAGCAAGAUGGGAUCAGAGAGGGCCUGGCCUACAUGAAUGGCACUUGGGAAAAGGCAUGUCAUCAGGUUGUUGGUGUGGAGUGGAACAUGAGGAAACACCUUCUGAACAGAGAAUUUCUGGAGAAAGAGUGCCACAGUUCAGGACUUCCAAAGAAGGUUCAUCUUCCCAGAAUGCCGACUCCUGUGAAAUAUGUUGCCUGGUCUUGAGAGAUAUUUUGCACUUGGCUGAACACCAAGGAACAAACUGCGGGCAGAAACUACACACAUGUGGAAAACAAUUCUACAUCAGUGCAAAUCUUCAACAGCACCAGAGGCAGCACAUUACAGAGGCACCUUUCAGAAGUUAUGUGGACACUGCCUCGUUUACACAGAGUUGCAUAGUCCAUGUGUCGGAGAAACCCUUUACCUGCAGGGAGAUCAGGAAAGACUUCCUGGCCAACAUGAGGUUUCUCCAUCAAGACGCCACUCAAACAGGGGAGAAGCCAAAUAACAGUAACAAGUGUGCGGUGGCCUUUUACAGUGGAAAAAGUCAUCACAACUGGGGAAAAUGCAGUAAAGCCUUUAGCCACAUAGACACACUUGUUCAGGACCAGAGAAUCCUCACUAGAGAAGGACUUUUUGAGUGCAGUAAAUGUGGGAAAGCAUGUACGCGAAGAUGUAACCUCAUUCAGCACCAGAAAGUCCACAGUGAAGAAAGGCCUUAUGAAUGCAAUGAAUGUGGAAAAUUCUUUACCUACUACUCCAGUUUCAUUAUACAUCAGAGAGUUCAUACUGGAGAAAGGCCUUAUGCGUGCCCUGAAUGUGGGAAAUCGUUUAGUCAGAUAUACAGCCUCAAUAGCCAUAGGAAAGUUCACACUGGAGAAAGGCCUUAUGAAUGUGGGGAAUGUGGGAAAUCUUUUAGCCAAAGGUCCAACCUCAUGCAGCAUCGCAGAGUUCACACUGGAGAAAGGCCUUAUGAAUGCAGCGAAUGUGGGAAAUCUUUUAGCCAAAACUUUAGCCUGAUCUACCACCAGAGAGUUCACACUGGAGAAAGACCUCAUGAGUGCAAUGAAUGUGGAAAAUCCUUUAGCCGAAGCUCCAGCCUCAUUCACCACCGGAGACUUCACACUGGAGAAAGACCCUAUGAGUGCAGUAAAUGUGGGAAGUCAUUUAAGCAAAGCUCCAGCUUCAGUUCACAUCGGAAAGUCCACACAGGGGAAAGGCCUUAUGUGUGUGGGGAAUGUGGGAAAUCCUUUAGCCAUAGCUCCAACCUUAAGAACCACCAGAGAGUUCACACUGGAGAAAGACCUGUUGAGUGCAGUGAAUGUAGCAAAUCCUUUAGCUGUAAAUCUAACCUCAUUAAACACCUGAGAGUUCACACUGGAGAAAGGCCUUAUGAGUGCAGUGAAUGUGGGAAAUCCUUUAGCCAAAGUUCUAGCCUCAUUCAACACCGCAGAGUUCACACGGGAAAAAGGCCUUAUCAGUGCAGUCAAUGUGGGAAAUCCUUUGGCUGCAAAUCUGUCCUCAUUCAACACCAGAGAGUUCACAUUGGAGAAAAGCCUUAGCUGUACUGAGAAUAUGCAAUUUCCUUUUAGUGUAAUUAUACUGAAGGAGUACACCUGUGAGAGAGACAAGUACCUGAUUUGGAAGCCCCAACAUCUAAGGAUAUACAGUGGGCGGAUUCCCCUUAAGUUCCAGGUAUGUGUUACACUUUCUAACAUGCCAUUUAGAAAGUGUUAGACUUUCUCACCUGCCAUUUAUGGCUCUUGCCGUUUAUGUCACUGACAGUUUCUGAGGCAGAAGCCGUAUCAUGUCUACCACCUGUGAGGUCCACACAGUGUGUAUCAUUUACCUCCUGAACCUGCUCAAGGAAGCAGACCUCUGCUUCUCCCCAUUUGCUAGAAGAAAUCAUGAAUAGUCUGAGUCUUCCUCUCUGACAAGUUAGGGCAUGGACUUGACCCAGCUUUGUGCCAGAGAACCCAAUAUGAGUGUUGUUGGCAGCUUGCCAAGAAGGACUGUCUUUUUCAAGACAUACUGGUUUCAUGUGACACCUCCAUGGAUUUUUUUCCAGCCUCUAAGUCACCAACUUGGGAACUGCUUGUCUCACGUUGCUUUGUUUUUUACAAUAAUAAAAGCAUUAUUAUUUAAGCUACCUUUAUCUUGGCAUUUGAUUCACUCUUUGAGGUGGUUCAAAAACAGAAUCGGGCCCUGCCAGCUUUACAGAGUAAACACCUUUGGAGGGAGAGGGAGGUGUCAUAUGCCUCAGUGACAACAGUAUAAUGGAAAAAUACAACUGUCUUUCCAGCUUUGGCCUAAUCUGAAUUUGAAUUAUUGCCCAAGGCCUUCUAGGAAAUACUGCAGGAUAUUAUGGUCUUAAUUCGUGGACUGGAUGCAAGGAUUUUUUGUGGGCUCAAAGGACACCCUGAGGAAGUGGGAAAUUGUGACAAAUUCCAUUGCUUCUGGGAACAAGAUGAAUUUUGUUGUUAUUCACAAGGGUUAUUACAUACUGCCCAGCACUGUUGAGGCAGUCUACCCCCAGUGCUGCCAAGGAGCCAAGUGCCCCAAUACAAUUUAGUAGGCUACUGUCACUGUAAAAUGAUGGGGGAACCAUAAUUGGUGUGGAAACACUGGGUUACUAGGGAGUGAAGGAGACUGCAGCAAACUAGAUGGAAUGUGCUCCUUGUAAUAUGUUCUAGUAAUUGUGCAGGAUCAGUGUGUACAGACAUUCUUAGAAUUUCCAGGCAUGUGUAUUUUUUGUAGCUGAGGUGACUGUCAAAAAAUAAUAAACAACCUAAAGGUUUUGUGUAUUCCAAUAGCCUUUCUGGGAUGUGCACCUCAAGAACAUUGCUGCAUAGGCCAGGAAAACAAGCAUAGAAAGAAGGGGCGGGGGAUGUCCUUCCAGGAAUGUGACUUUGUAACCUACCAUCAUCCUGUGUUUAAAUGAAUUCAAAUCAGUUUCAUUGAUUACCAGUAUUUGCUGCCCACUGAGGCAAGGUGUCCCUCCAAGGUCAUCAGGAAAGAGAGUUAAUGUAGGGUUACCAAACCUAGUCAAAAACACAUUAUACCAUCAUUAUAAUUAUUACAAUGAACAUAUCAGUCACCUCGGAUUUACCUCAGGCCUUUUUCUAAGCUCUCCCUCCCCUCUCUGGCCCUCAAGGCAACCAUUGAUUUAUACCUUCAUUUAUAAUAGGUUUGUUUGUAUUUUCUAUAAUAUAUGAUUUUAUUAAUAAAAUGUCUUUUUUUCCAGUUUCAUUCAUGAUGCAUAAUUAUUUUGAGAUUCUUCAAUGGAGCUUAUAUGUGGUGGUCAUUCUUUUUAUUGCUGAGUGGUAUAUUUUUUAUGGAUAUACUAUUUGUUAUCCAUUUGUUUAUAAGCAUUUAGGUUUUAUCUAGUUUUGGCUAUUACAAAUAAAGCUGCUAGAAAUGUA